rnacentral:rRNA from 1 species
GACGUAGGGCGCGAGCGUUGUCCGGAAUUACUGGGCGUAAAGGGCUCGUAGGCGGCCAACUAAGUCAGACGUGAAAUCCCUCGGCGUUAACCGGGGAACUGCGUCUGAUACUGGAUGGCUUGAGUUUGGGAGAGGGAUGCGGAAUUCCAGGUGUAGCGGUGAAAUGCGUAGAUAUCUGGAGGAACACCGGUGGCGAAAGGCGGCAUCCUGGACUGGGUCCU